AUCUAAAUGACUAAAAAGUAAAAAACCUUAAUAGUCAUUUUCUUACAGCCGUUUUCACCACUUUCCUCUCUUCAUUCUCUCACCUAUCUCUUCGUUCUCUCUCAUGUGUUCAUCAAAAUGAUGAUUCAAGUUGAUCCAACUUAUUUAUCUUCAGUCAUCAAGGGUUUUUUUAUCAAGCUACUUGAGAGUUCUUUUGAUGUUAUUUUUGGCUAAGCAAGGAUCAAGUGUUAUUUCAGGUGAAGUGAAUAAAGUGAUGCAUGGAGUCCCAGGAUUUGGUUUCACUAAUUUAGGAAUCUUGGUCUUUGUAUUUUAUUUGAGUACACAUGACAUUGGUUUCUAUUUAUAGUUAUUAUUAAUAAGAAGAGUUUUGAAGUUUCCUCUGCAAAGUAUUGUUUUGUUUAGUAA